AGCGAACGCUGGCGGCAGGCCUAAUACAUGCAAGUCGAACGGAUCCUUCGGGAUUAGUGGCGGACGGGUGAGUAACACGUGGGAACGUGCCCUUUGGUUCGGAACAACUCAGGGAAACUUGAGCUAAUACCGGAUAAGCCCUUCGGGGAAGAUUUAUCGCCAUUGGAGCGGCCCGCGUCUGAUUAGCUAGUUGGUGGGGUAAAGGACCUACCAAGGCGACGAUCACGUAGCUGGUCUGAGAGGAUGAUCAGCCACACUGGGACUGAGACACGGCCCAGACUCCUACGGGAGGCAGCAGUGGGGAAUAUUGGACAAUGGGCGCAAGGCCUGAUCCAGCGAUGCCGCGUGUGUGAAGAAGGCCUGCGGGUUGUAAAGCAC
rnacentral:rRNA from 1 species